rnacentral:tRNA from 1 species
GUCUCGGUAGUGUAAUGGAUCAACACGAUAGACGGCAUAUCUGUAAGUGCGGGUUCGAGUCCCGUCUGAGGCU